AACGAACGCUGGCGGCAUGCCUAACACAUGCCAGUCGAACGAGAACUCCGGGACUAUUCGCGCACGGGUGCGUAACGCGAGGGAACCUGCCCUUAGGUUCGGAAUACCUACCCGAAAGGGGUGCUAAUACCGGAUAAUGUCUUCUGCCCAAAGAUUUAUUGCCUCUGGUUGUGCCCGCGUUGGAUUAGCUAGUUGGUAGGGUAAUAGCCUCCCAAGCGCAGAAUCAAUAGCUGGUCAGUGAGGAUGAUCAGCAACACUGGGAUGAGGACACGGCCCAGAAUCCUACGGAAUGCAGCAGUGGGGGAUAGUGGACCAUGGGGGGAGUCCUGAAGCAGCUAUGCCCGGUAAGUUAUGAAGUCCGUAGGGUAGUAAAGCUCAUUUACCCGUGAAGGUAAUGACGGUACCGGGAGAAUAAGCCCCGGCUAACUACGUG
rnacentral:rRNA from 1 species